rnacentral:rRNA from 1 species
UUGGACAAUGGUAGGAGAGCGUUCUAAGGGCGUUGAAGCAUGAUCGUAAGGACAUGUGGAGCGCUUAGAAGUGAGAAUGCCGGUGUGAGUAGUGAAAGACGGGUGAGAAUCCCGUCCACCGAUUGACUAAGGUUUCCAGAGGAAGGCUCGUCCGCUCUGGGUUAGUCGGGUCCUAAGCUGAGGCCGACAGGCGUAGGCGAUGGAUAACAGGUUGAUAUUCCUGUACCACCUAUAAUCGUUUUAAUCGAUGGGGGGACGCAGUAGGAUAGGCGAAGCGUGCGAUUGGAUUGCACGUCUAAGCAGUAAGGCUGAGUAUUAGGCAAAUCCGGUACUCGUUAAGGCUGAGCUGUGAUGGGGAGAAGACAUUGUGUCUUCGAGUCGUUGAUUUCACACUGCCGAGAAAAGCCUCUAGAUAGAAAAUAGGUGCCCGUACCGCAAACCGACACAGGUAGUCAAGAUGAGAAUUCUAAGGUGAGCGAGCGAACUCUCGUUAAGGAACUCGGCAAAAUGACCCCGUAACUUCGGGAGAAGGGGUGCUCUUUAGGGUUAACGCCCAGAAGAGCCGCAGUGAAUAGGCCCAAGCGACUGUUUAUCAAAAACACAGGUCUCUGCUAAACCGUAAGGUGAUGUAUAGGGGCUGACGCCUGCCCGGUGCUGGAAGGUUAAGAGGAGUGGUUAGCUUCUGCGAAGCUACGAAUCGAAGCCCCAGUAAACGGCGGCCGUAACUAUAACGGUCCUAAGGUAGCGAAAUUCCUUGUCGGGUAAGUUCCGACCCGCACGAAAGGCGUAACGAUUUGGGCACUGUCUCAACGAGAGACUCGGUGAAAUCAUAGUACCUGUGAAGAUGCAGGUUACCCGCGACAGGACGGAAAGACCCCGUGGAGCUUUACUGUAGCCUGAUAUUGAAAUUCGGCACAGCUUGUACAGGAUAGGUAGGAGCCUUUGAAACGUGAGCGCUAGCUUACGUGGAGGCGCUGGUGGGAUACUACCCUAGCUGUGUUGGCUUUCUAACCCGCACCACUUAUCGUGGUGGGAGACAGUGUCAGGCGGGCAGUUUGACUGG